rnacentral:rRNA from 1 species
GACGAACGCUGGCGGCGUGCCUAAUACAUGCAAGUUGAGCGCUGAAGGUUGGUACUUGUACCGACUGGAUGAGCAGCGAACGGGUGAGUAACGCGUGGGGAAUCUGCCUUUGAGCGGGGGACAACAUUUGGAAACGAAUGCUAAUACCGCAUAAAAACUUUAAACACAAGUUUUAAGUUUGAAAGAUGCAAUUGCAUCACUCAAAGAUGAUCCCGCGUUGUAUUAGCUAGUUGGUGAGGUAAAGGCUCACCAAGGCGAUGAUACAUAGCCGACCUGAGAGGGUGAGCGGCCACAUUGGGACUGAGACACGGCCCAAACGCCUACAGGAGGCAGCAGUAGGGAAUCUUCGGCAAUGGACGAAAGUCUGACCGAGCAACGCCGCGUGAGUGAAGAAGGUUUUCGGAUCGUAAAACUCUGUUGGUAGAGAAGAACGUUGGUGAGAGUGGAAAGCUCAUCAAGUGACGGUAACUACCCAGAAAGGGACGGCUAACUACGUG